rnacentral:rRNA from 1 species
UACGGAGGGGGCUAGCGUUGUUCGGAAUUACUGGGCGUAAAGCGCGUGUAGGCGGCUCGGAAAGUCGGAUGUGAAGGCCCUGGGCUUAACCUAGGAAGUGCAUUCGAAACUCCCGAGCUUGAGUUCUGGAGAGGAAGGCGGAAUUCUCGGUGUAGAGGUGAAAUUCGUAGAUAUCGAGAGGAACACCGGUGGCGAAGGCGGCCUUCUGGACAGUGACUGACGCUGAGACGCGAAAGCGUGGGGAGCAAACAGG